GGAAGGUCCCAUAAGGGGAAGGGGAGGGUGAGGAAGGUCCCAUCACAGGCAGAGGCACCAGAGACGGGCCCAGUCCCCCCAUAGAGCCUGGGGGCCACUCCCUAAGAGGAUGUAAGGCAACCAAUUAAGCUAAAAUGGGGUUUCCUGGAGGAGCCUCCCCCCGGGAGCGAGUGCACCUUUGGGGGGCAGGCAGAGAGCAGGGGAGGGUCCCGCGCAGCCGGACGUGCCCCAGGGGAUGCCCAGGGCGAGGGCCUUGGAAGCCCUCCUGGGGUUGGGCAGGAGCCCCCAAGGGACCCAGAAGUGAGGUCGCAGCGAUACCCGCUCUGGCUGCAUCGGCGGGAAGGGCCUGAGUCACUCACUCGACUGGCGCUGCCCCCGGAGCACAAGGAAGCCGGCGACCGACCGGUCAGGCCUCCGGGGACUGUCUGCACUCCGGAGGCUUCGAGGAAAACUUUCUCCGCCCUGCGGAAGGGCCUCGCCCUCCCAUGUUUCCUGGAAAGUGAGCAAGACUUUCCUGAGCUGGUCCGUUUGGCUGAGAACGUUCCUGCGGACCAUUCCCUUUAACCACGAGACUGGAUUCCGUCCAACAGAAGCUCCUGGAGGCAAGGAAAGUCCUCGCUUCGAGGACGCGGCCCCACGUGGCCCCACGCACGGUGCAAGGCCUGAGAAGUGUUUGCGGAAUGAAUGCAUGAGCUUGCCCAGACUUUCACACAGAAGGCCGUCUGCUGUCCUGUGCACGCCGGCCGUGGAGCCCGGGCUCUGUGUCCGGACCCGCCAUCCGCCAAGCAGAGGGCUCUCCGCCCUGGGGACACAUCACGAAGCAGCAGGUGCGGAGUUCUGGGGAGGACAGCUCAGCUGCCACAACAGGCAGCCUCAUUAACGCCCUGAGGCUCCUUGAGGAUAAGGAGGACCCUCCAACAGCACAGGGCUUAGGGGCACCAACCCCCUGUGGUCGAAAAUUCACAUUUCACAUUUGGCUCCCCAGAAGUUGGCGGCAGGGCCCCUGAGGAGCCGAUGCCCAGGGCUGGCUGUCUACAGGGACUCUCUGAGGGGAGGGGGAUUUCUGCCCAGAGUCACCGUGCAGCCCUCCAGCUGGGGGUCCCAUAGCCGGGCUUUUGUCCCAGGCCCCGCCACCCCCUGGCCUUGCACACCCAGCCCUGCCCCUGCGGGAAGGAGGGGUCAAGGGUGGGCUGGAGGGCCGCCUGCCCCCUGGAGAGACCACCUACUCACUGUACGCCCCGAGUGCAGGCCUUGCAGUUCGCUUGGCAGACUCAGAAGCGCCGCCGCCGCUCAUCUCCUUGUGGAGGGGCAUCCAAGUCACCUGGCUAAGGGCUGGCACGGGCAUUGGCUCACCCCCGGCCCCUUCCGUGGAGUGGCGCUCAGCCGCGCCACGCGAGGCCUGGGGGAGGUGGCCAGAGGGACCCAGGGCGUCCAGGGUCUGCUCCCGUCUAUGGCGCACUUGGAGGGGCCGCUGCGGGCCCAAGCGUGUCUGCACAUGCUCCGAGAGCCCUGGACAAAUGCCAGGCCUGCCACACCGCCAGCCAUAGCUCUGCCCACCGUGCCCUGGGCCCGCACCUGACACGCUGUCCAUCGGGAAGCCCCCGGCUCCAGGAGGAAGAUGGCACUGCUGGCAGGGGUCGGGGGGGCGGCGUGUCCAGUGUGACUCAACACACACCGCCUGCAGCCCAGGGACUUCCCGAGGUCAGGAAAGGCAGGGCGCCUGAGAAUACACGUUUCCUGACGGCGCACAGACAGCCCCACAGCCACUUUCCCUCCUGCCACGUGGAGGCCACCUCUGAGACCCCAGCCCAGAAGACACCAAAGUGAGCCAGGAAAGAAAAGCAGCCACCGCUCCCAUCGGACUGGGCGGCACCAGUCUGGUCCAGAGGCAGAGCCGCGGUGCCCACAUGGUGCCCACACCUGAGCAUGGCCCGCAUCCCGUGACAGCCCGCGCUCACAGCACCCACGGUGUUACGAUGCCCGGAGAGCCGGGACAGUCCCUCCCCUCCACGGGGGAGGAAGCACGGCCACCGGCUCGUGCAGCGGAGCCUGGAGCCCGCACCAAGCCAUCGGGGAACCAAGGUCCUGAGAAGCAGAAUGUCUGAGAACAGCUUGUCCUCAGCAGCUGAUUCAGACCAUGCUUCUCCCACCCACAGGCAGGACGCCCGAAACACAGUGCACUUGAAGAUGUGGCCUUGGCAAAGCCCAGGCCUUUCCCAGACUCCGUUUCCAUCUCCCCAUCUAUGGCUUCUGUGCGGGGUUGAACCAACCAGGGCUCCCCAAAACGCCUACCCCACCCCAAGUGUCUGGGGUCUGACCGCCAUGGAAAAGCAGCAGGUCGCCCAGCAAGCGGAUCCUAGGUGGGCUGAUCUCAGACAGUCUAGGAGGUCAGCUUGAGGUGGGAAGCUGCAGGGCGCCAGGGGGCCAGAGGGCAGCCCGCCACGCCCGGGCUCUGUCCUGAGGUCACGGGCACAGCCUCCCUGGAGACAGAGGUCCCCCAUCGGAAGCACAGGCAUCUGCCCUGCAACUGGCAACAACCGGGAACAUUCUGCUGUGGGCUACAUACCAGAAAUGCAGGGGUUGGAAGUAGCCAUCCUGGAAGGCUUUCCAUGAGGUGAUUUGUCUCUCUCGGGAAGGAGUCCAGCCCUGAACAGUAGGGUUCCAGGAGCGAAGCCUGGGCCACCUGGGCCCAGCCUUCCUAGCUCUGAAGCUAGGGGGCCCCGCCCGCCCGGGAGCAAGAGACCACAUGUGGGGAACCAGCCCAGCAUGCUGCCCCCAAGCGCGUGUGGAGCAACCACUUUGCUGGGGGAACACUAGUUCCUGGAAACACAAAGAUCAUGUGCACUUGCCUGCCUCCCAGGAGCUCGUAACCCAGCGUGUCCUGGCUUGGCCCUUGACAGCCGAGUGACAGGGGCCUAGACCAAGGGCCCAGACGAGGGUUUCUCUGCAGUAAGAAAUGGGCCUGUUAAUGCGGUUCCCCAACCCGAAGGUCGUCACGCCCAUCCCGAGGGGAAGGUCCAGUGGGAAGUGGACACCGUGCUCUGCAAGAUGAGGGGAAGGACGAAACCAAGUCCAGGGAAGGGUGGGCCGCAGUCUUGGCCAGCACUCAGGAGCAGCUACCCCCAGGGUCAGGCCCACUGGGUGGGUGCAUCUGCGGGACCCCUUGUCCCCCAGCCCCCAGGAAACCAUGCCUUGUGCUUCUGCCAUGAGUUUCUGCCCCAUGUCUAGCUGUCUGAAACUCAUUAUCAUGAAUUGCUGUGGAAUUUUGGUUUACACACCUGUGUGAAGACUCCCCUUGAUUCUGUGCAUAUGGUGAUUUUCAUUCUUUUUUUUUUUUUUUAAUGUGAAACCAACCUUGCAUUCCUGGGAUCAAACCCGCCAGGUUAAGACGUGUUAAGGAUCUAAGAUGUAGACCCUUGCUCUACAUAGCUGGAUGCUAUCUGUGACGUAUCGUCAACAACUUUUGCAUCUAUAUUUACAAGGGAUAUUGAUCUAUGGCUUUCUUUUCUUGUAAUUCGCUUGUUAUGUAUCUGAGCUCCACUGUUCCUAUAAAAUGAGUUAGAAAGCAUUCCCUACUCCUUGAUUUUAUUAGUUUAAAACUGCUGUUAAAGCUCCCUUAAGGGAUCCCUGGGUGGUGCAGCGGUUUGGCACCUGCCUUUGGCCCAGGGUGCGAUCCUGGAGACCCGAGAUCGAAUCCCACA